GACGUAGGGCGCGAGCGUUGUCCGGAUUUAUUGGGCGUAAAGAGCUCGUAGGCGGCUUGUCGCGUCGACCGUGAAAACUUGGGCUCAACCCCAAGCCUGCGGUCGAUACGGGCAGGCUCGAGUUCGGUAGGGGAGACUGGAAUUCCUGGUGUAGCGGUGAAAUGCGCAGAUAUCAGGAGGAACACCGGUGGCGAAGGCGGGUCUCUGGGCCGAUACUGACGCUGAGGAGCGAAAGCGUGGGGAGCGAACAGG
rnacentral:rRNA from 1 species